AACGAACGCUGGCGGCAGGCUUAACACAUGCAAGUCGAACGAGAUCUUCGGAUCUAGUGGCAGACGGGUGAGGAACACGUGGGAACAUCCCUUUCAGUUCGGAAUAACGUUGGGAAACUAACGCUAAUACCGGAUACGACCUUCGCGAGAAAGAUUAAUCGCUGAAAGAUUGGCCCGCGUCUGAUUAGCUAGUUGGUGAGGUAAUGGCUCACCAAGGCUACGAUCAGUAGCUGAACUGAGAGGAUGAUCAGCCACAUUGGGAUUGAGACACGGCCCAAUCUCCUACGGGAGGCAGGAGUAGGUAAUAUUGGACAAUGGGCGCAAUCCUGCUCCAGCCAUGCCGCGUGAGUGAUGACGGCAUUCGGGUUUUAAAGCUCUUUUCUCCGGGAAGAUAAUGACUGUACCGGAAGAAUAAGCCCCGGCAAACUGCGUGCCAGCCGCCGCCGUAAUAC
rnacentral:rRNA from 1 species